rnacentral:rRNA from 1 species
ACUCCUACGGGAGGCAGCAGUUCGAGAAUCUUCCGCAAUGGGCGAAAGCCUGACGGGGCGACGCCGCGUGCAGGAUGAAGGCCUUCGGGUUGUAAACUGCUGUUACACUUUACCAACGCUCGGAAGUUAAUAGCUCUCCGAGACGAGCAAGGUGGGAGAAAGCACAGGCUAACUCCGUGCCAGCAGCCGCGGUAAU